UACAGAGGGGGCAAGCGUUGUUCGGAAUUACUGGGCGUAAAGGGCGCGUAGGCGGCCUUCUAAGUCGAACGUGAAAUCCCUGGGCUCAACCCAGGAACUGCGUCCGAUACUGGAAGGCUUGAAUCCGGGAGAGGGAUGCGGAAUUCCAGGUGUAGCGGUGAAAUGCGUAGAUAUCUGGAGGAACACCGAUGGCGAAGGCAGCUCGCUGGGACGGUACUGACGCUGAGGCGCGAAAGCGUGGGGAGCAAACAGG
rnacentral:rRNA from 1 species